CCCUUAGAUGCUCUGGGCCGCACGCGCGCUACACUGGUCGAUGCAACGAGUUUCUUUCCUUGGCCGACAGGCCUGGGCAAUCUUUGAACAUCGAUCGUGAUCGGGAUAGAUUCUUGUAAUUUUUGAUCUUAAACGAGGAAUUCCUAGUAAACGCAAGUCAUCAGCUUGCAUUGAUUACGUCCCUGCCCUUUGUACACACCGCCCGUCGCACCUACCGAUUGAAUGGUCCGGUGAAAUCUCCGGACUGGCGUGAGUCGGAGCAAUCUGACAAACACCGGAAAGUUGAUUAAACCUUACCAUUUAGAGGAAGGUGAAGGCGUAACA
rnacentral:rRNA from 1 species